AAACCCAAUGGCUGCAGUAACCAUAACUGUAACAAUGUAGCACAAUCAAUCGUCACUUAAUUAGUGAAUAGUAUGAAUGGCUGAACGAAAAUCUCACUGUCUCAUAAUACAAUACAAAAAAAUUAAAAUAACAGUCAAGAUGUGUUUAAAAUUGUAAGACGAGAAGACCCUAUAAAGCUUAACUACUAACCUUAAAUAAUUUAAGAAAAGGUAGUUUCAUUGGGGCGAUGGUUUCUAAAAAAAAACAGAAAUAUAACAAAAUAACUUAAAAAUAUUUAUUGUAUAACUCAUGAGUUUAACAAUUACAAAGUAGGUUAAAUACGACCCAUUAACCCACAGACAAGAGUUAAUGAUUAAUAAAUAAAAGCUACUUUAGGGAUAACAGAAUAAUUUUAUUCAGAAGCUCGAAUUCAAAAUAAAGUUUAUUACCUCGAUGUUGAAUUGAGAUAUCCCAGGGGUGCAAA
rnacentral:rRNA from 1 species